GGCGGUUCUCAGGUGACACACCCCACAAUCGGGCUCUCUCCUCUCUGGUUCUGGGUGUGUCACCCAAGAACUACA
rfam:Myotis davidii contig324407, whole genome shotgun sequence.